rnacentral:rRNA from 1 species
UCAAGUUUUUAAGAGCACACGGUGGAUGCCUUGGCAUUAGGAGCCGAAGAAGGACGUAGGAAUCUGCGAUAAGCCUGGGGGAGUCGAUAACCGGACUGUGAUCCCAGGGUGUCCGAAUGGGGAAACCCCGCCAAGCGCGCGAGUGACUUGGUGACCCGUACCUGAACACAUAGGGUGCGUGGGGGGAACGCGGGGAAGUGAAACAUCUCAGUACCCGCAGGAAGAGAAAACAAUAGUGAUUCCGUUAGUAGUGGCGAGCGAACGCGGAUCAGGCUAAACCGUUCCAUGUGUGAUAGCCGGCGGGCGUUGCAUGGUCGGGGUUGUGGGACUUUCCAUACCAGUUCUGCCGGGCUGGUGGGGUGUGAUGUGCGCGCAUAGGUGAACGGUUUUGAAAGGCCGGCCAGAGAGGGUGUUAGUCCCGUAACCGUAAUGUGUUUGUACCGCCUGUGAGAGUAUCCCAAGUAGUACGGGGCCCGAGAAAUCCCGUGCGAAUCUGUCAGGACCACCUGAUAAGCCUAAAUACUCCCUAAUGACCGAUAGCGGACCAGUACCGUGAGGGAAAGGUGAAAAGUACCCCGGGAGGGGAGUGAAACAGUACCUGAAACCGUGUGCUUACAAUCCGUCGGAGCCAGUCUGAUUCUGGUGACGGCGUGCCUUUUGAAGAAUGAGCCUGCGAGUUAGUGUUACGUCGCGAGGUUAACCCGUGUGGGGCAGCCGUAGCGAAAGCGAGUCUGAAUAGGGCGUGUGAGUGGCGUGAUCUAGACCCGAAGCGAAGUGAUCUACCCAUGGCCAGGUUGAAGCGACGGUAAGACGUCGUGGAGGACCGAACCCACUUCAGUUGAAAAUGGAGGGGAUGAGCUGUGGGUAGGGGUGAAAGGCCAAUCAAACUUCGUGAUAGCUGGUUCUCCCCGAAAUGCAUUUAGGUGCAGCGUUGCGUGUUUCUUGCUGGAGGUAGAGCUACUGGAUGGCUAAUGGGCCCUACAAGGUUACUGACGUCAGCCAAACUCCGAAUGCCGGUAAGUGAGAGCGCAGCAGUGAGACUGUGGGGGAUAAGCUUCAUAGUCGAGAGGGAAACAGCCCAGACCACCAACUAAGGCCCCUAAGCGUGUGCUAAGUGGGAAAGGAUGUGGAGUUGCCCAGACAACCAGGAGGUUGGCUUAGAAGCAGCCACCCUUAAAAGAGUGCGUAAUAGCUCACUGGUCAAGUGAUUCCGCGCCGACAAUGUAGCGGGGCUCAAGUACACCGCCGAAGUUGUGGCAUUCAGAUAUUUAGCUAAGCCCUUGUGGUUCAGGCGUCUGGAUGGGUAGGGGAGCGUCGUGUGGGCAGUGAAGUCGCGGUGUAAACCAGCGGUGGAGCCUACACGAGUGAGAAUGCAGGCAUGAGUAGCGAAAGACGGGUGAGAAACCCGUCCGCCGAAUGAUCAAGGGUUCCAGGGUCAAGCUAAUCUGCCCUGGGUAAGUCGGGACCUAAGGCGAGGCCGACAGGCGUAGUCGAUGGACAACGGGUUGAUAUUCCCGUACCGGCGAAAAACCGUCCAUGUUGAACAGGGGAUACUAACCGCCCGAGACCUGCCUGACACCCCUUGUGGGUGAAGGGUUUUGGUGGAGCGCGGGACCUGAUCCUGGGAGGCAAGCGUAUUAACAGGUGUGACGCAGGAAGGUAGCCGAGCCGGGCGAUGGUUGUCCCGGUCUAAGGAUGUAGGGCGAGUGGUAGGCAAAUCCGCCACUCAUAUAGCCUGAGAUCUGAUGGGACCCCCGUUUGGGGGGAUUUGGUGAUCCUAUGCUGCCGAGAAAAGCAUCGACGCGAGGUUUUAGCCGCCCGUACCCCAAACCGACACAGGUGAUCAGGUAGAGAAUACUAAGGCGAUCGAGAGAAUUAUGGUUAAGGAACUCGGCAAAAUGCCCCCGUAACUUCGGGAGAAGGGGGGCCCCAACCUUGAACGGACUUCGCGUCCGGGAGGGGAUCGGGGCCGCAGAGACCAGGGGGAAGCGACUGUUUACUAAAAACACAGGUCCGUGCGAAGUCGCAAGACGAUGUAUACGGACUGACUCCUGCCCG